CAUUUUAUAUUUUAUAAAAAAAUUUUAAAUUGCAAAUUUAAAGAAAUCAAUUAAAUUAUUUUGAUUAAAAUGU
rnacentral:tRNA from 1 species